AGCGGUAAUACUUUAAACCUUCACAAUGAAGGUAAAAUCUUUGUGCAUUCUAUAAUUUAAAGGCCAAAAUAUUAUAAUGCUACCAUGGCCUCAACAGAAUCACGAAUAAAAACAAGCCUGACAACACAAGAAAAACACUAGGCAACUAAUCUUUAGAUCGACAAACAUCAAAAGAAACUAUUAGUUGUUUGUAGAUAAUGAGAGGAAACAACAAAGGUACUUGCUCUAACAUGAAGAGUAGCAAACUAUUAAUAUCAAAAUUAUCACAGAUAGAACUCAAAAUAGAAGUUUAACUUGAGUACACAGAAUGUAGUUCUCUGCAAAAUCAGCUAAACUUAAUUUAAAGAAGCUAGCAACAAGCAAAGGCUUAUAGCUUAACUUUCAGUUUGUUCCCUCAACCUCCUGAUGGUGCUCCGAACAGUCACAGCACUUGCAGUGCUGUCAUAAUAAUGAGAACAAAGUCAUGAGGCUGGCCUUUCAGAUUUAAAAAAAUAAAACAUUGAGAAAAGGAAUAAGAAAAAUUACUUCAAAGUGUAGGCUCCGCCUGCUUUUACUUUACCGCAAUCCUUGCAUCCCCAUAUCCCUACAGCCUUUCUCUUCACAGCAUACUGCAACAAGUAAUUGAUCAUCAGAACUUGGCAUUUUGAAAAGGCUAGAUUAAACCUACUAAACUAAAUACUUAGAUAUUUGACCGAUGAUAUACAACAUUACACAAGGCCUACCUUUCCACAAAAUUCACAGAAAAAUUUGCUGUGCUGACUGACUUCCAUCUUUUUAAUCUGCUUACGCAAACUAGCACCAUAACGGGUACCUAAUAUAAUACAACAAAACAAACAAAUUAACUUCUCAUAAACUAUAUCCUUGAACAGUUAAAAAUAAAUCCAAAAUAUAUUUUACGUACAACAAGGAAUAGUGGUCUACAAAUACAAUUCAUGAAUUGGAUAACAGUUCAGGAACAUCAUCAAUUUUCCCCCAAAAUAUCAAAACACCUAGAAUGCAACUACCUAGGGACUGUUUGGAUUGGCUUAUAUUUUAGCUUAUGAAAAAUAGCUUAAGAAAAUAAAUAAGCUUUUAUGUUAAUUUACAAGUUCUCACUAAUGAGAAUUGUAACUUCAUAAGCUGCUUUAACAUAAACAAACCUUGCAUAAAAUCUUAUUUAUUUGCAUAAGCUGUUUUGUUUUCCACAAACUCAAAAAAUUGCAUAAGCUCAAAAAAUAAAGCAAUCCAAACGGGUACCUAUACAAAAACAGCAGCAGCUAAUCCCACUAAGUGGAGUGGGCGACAUGGAUCAAAUUAAAUCAUAAUGUUCAUAAAUAAUAUACAAUUAAUUAUCUGGAUCUUAAGAACAAUACAUAGAUCACUAAUCAUUCCAUCAUAAAGUAACCCAUGUAUACAUCAUUAACGACAUUGAAGAGCAUAACAACAAACAAAUAACAAUGACCAAAUCAGAGAAGUUAUCAGAUUUCAGACAUACCAUAUUUGCCAACGAUGCCAGCCUUCUUAGUUCUCUUAGUCUGCAGAAAAAGUACAUAUUCAACUUAAAACGAUGAUUUAUAACAAAUAGAGAAGUAAAAAUAUACAUAACAGUUGCAAAUCUGGGUUAAUGAAUAAAGGGUUCAACAACAAACGUUUCUGUGAUUCUAAAUAUACAUGGUAGAAAACGAAGCUUAAAAAAUUGAAAGUUGUAAGAAGAAAAAUCGAUGGAGAAGGAGAGAAAGAGUACCAUUUUUACAGAGAUCGAAGGAGCUGUGAGCUAUGGAAGUGGCAGCGGUGGAAUGGAAC
rnacentral:lncRNA from 1 species